CUUUUGCUAACCUCUUAAUAUAGUUUGUUCCGGACCCACGUUUUGAAGAAGUGAAAGAAUUUAUUAAAAGUGGUGUUUUUGGGUCUUUCAAUUAUGACGGGCUAAUGGGAUCCUUGGAAGGAAAUGAAGGUUUUGGUCAAGCUGAUUAUUUCCUUGUUGGCGAGGACUUCCCAAGCUACAUAGAAUGCCAAGAAGAAGUCGACAAGGCAUAUUGGGACCAGAGGAGAUGGACCCGAAUGUCAAUCCUGAAUACAGCAGGUUCAUACAAAUUCAGCAGCGACAGGACGAUUCAUGAAUAUGCACGUGAUAUUUGGAACAUUCAACCUGCCAUAUUGCCAUGCUAAUGACUAGCAGUUGCAGAGUUGGCAGUGCCACGGCUUCAGGAAGAUUGAAUGGUCUUUCAUCCUUAGUCUUCCAAGUUUUUCCUCCACAACCACCUCUCCUGUCGGGGAAGACAUGUAUAAAAUAAAAUUUUCUUCCAAUGUAAAGGAAAUCGCCGGAAAUAAAUGUGGUUCUAGUAGCCAAGUGCAAUAAAACAAGUUGCUCCAUAAGCAUGUAAGAAAUGUAAUUUCAAAAAUUUCGCCAAUAUCAUGAAGACGAAAAGUUGUAAUCGUCAUAAAAGCUACUUAAAUAAGAUUCACUCGAUAGCUUAGAUAAA